GCACAAGCGGUGGAGUAUGUGGUUUAAUUCGAUGCAACGCGAAGAACCUUACCUGGUCUUGACAUCCCGGAGACCCUUAGGAAACUAGGGGGUGCUUCCAUCUGGAAGAAUCUGGAGACAGGUGCUGCAUGGCUGUCGUCAGCUCGUGUCGUGAGAUGUUGGGUUAAGUCCCGCAACGAGCGCAACCCUUGCCUUUAGUUGCCAGCAGUUCGGCUGGGCACUCUAAAGGGACUGCCGGUGUUAAACCGGAGGAAGGUGGGGAUGACGUCAAGUCCUCAUGGCCUUUAUGACCAGGGCUACACACGUACUACAAUGGUCGGUACAAAGGGUUGCCAAGCCGCGAGGUGGAGCUAAUCCCAUAAAACCGAUCGUAGUCCGGAUCGCAGUCUGCAACUCGACUGCGUGAAGUCGGAAUCGCUAGUAAUCGUGAAUCAGAAUGUCACGGUGAAUACGUUCCCGGGCCUU
rnacentral:rRNA from 1 species